rnacentral:rRNA from 1 species
CGCGGUAAUACGAAGGGGGCUAGCGUUGUUCGGAAUUACUGGGCGUAAAGCGUAUGCAGGCGGCCAACUAAGUCGGAUGUGAAAUCCCCAGGCUCAACUUGGGAAUGGCAUCCGAUACUGGAUGGCUUGAAUCCGGGAGAGGGAUGCGGAAUUCCAGGUGUAGCGGUGAAAUGCGUAGAUAUCUGGAGGAACACCGGUGGCGAAGGCGGCAUCCUGGACCGGUAUUGACGCUGAGUGAGCGAAAGCCAGGGGAGCAAACGGG